rnacentral:rRNA from 1 species
AACGCGAAGAACCUUACCUGGGCUCGAACGACUAGUAGUAGUCCUGUAGAAAUACGGGGCGACCCGCAAGGGAGCUAGCCGAGGUGCUGCAUGGCUGUCGUCAGCUCGUGUCGUGAGAUGUUGGGUUAAGUCCCGCAACGAGCGCAACCCUUACUCGUAGUUGCUACCCGCAAGGGAGAACUCUACGAGGACUGCUCCGGAUAACGGAGAGGAAGGUGGGGAUGACGUCAAGUCAGCACGGCCUUUAUGUCCAGGGCUACACACGUGUUACAAUGCACGGUACAGACUGUUGCGAACCCGCGAGGGGGAGCUAAUCGGAUAAAACCGUGCUCAGUUCGGAUUGCAGUCUGCAACUCGGCUGCAUGAAGCUGGAAUCGCUAGUAAUGGCGUAUCAGAUCGACGCCGUGAAUACGUUCCCGGGCCUUGUACACACCGAGUAUA